GGUUAAGUUAGUAAGGGCGCACGGUGGAUGCCUUGGCACUAGGAGCCGAUGAAGGACGUGACAAACGACGAAAUGCCUCGGGGAGCUGUAAGUAAGCACUUGAUCCGGGGGUGUCCGAAUGGGGGAACCCAACAGGUUGAUGCCUGUUACCCAUUUCUGUUAAGGAAAUGAGGAGGAAGACGCAGUGAACUGAAA
rnacentral:rRNA from 1 species